rnacentral:rRNA from 1 species
CCUACGGGGUGCAGCAGUGAGGAAUAUUGGUCAAUGGACGAGAGUCUGAACCAGCCAAGUCGCGUGAAGGAUGACUGCCCUAUGGGUUGUAAACUUCUUUUAUAUGGGAAUAAAAUGUUCCACGUGUGGGAUUUUGUAUGUACCAUAUGAAUAAGGAUCGGCUAACUCCGUGCCAGCAGCCGCGGUAAUACGGAGGAUCCGAGCGUUAUCCGGAUUUAUUGGGUUUAAAGGGAGCGUAGGUGGAUUGUUAAGUCAGUUGUGAAAGUUUGCGGCUCAACCGUAAAAUUGCAGUUGAAACUGGCAGUCUUGAGUACAGUAGAGGUGGGCGGAAUUCGUGGUGUAGCGGUGAAAUGCUUAGAUAUCACGAAGAACUCCGAUUGCGAAGGCAGUUCACUUGACUGCAACUGACACUGAGGCUCGAAAGUGUGGGUAUCAAACAGGAUUAGAUACCCCAGUAGUC